UAGGGAAUCUUCCACAAUGGACGCAAGUCUGAUGGAGCAACGCCGCGUGAGUGAAGAAGGUCUUCGGAUCGUAAAGCUCUGUUGUUGGUGAAGAAGGAUAGAGGCAGUAACUGGUCUUUAUUUGACGGUAAUCAACCAGAAAGUCACGGCUAACUACGUGCCAGCAGCCGCGGUAAUACGUAGGUGGCAAGCGUUGUCCGGAUUUAUUGGGCGUAAAGCGAGCGCAGGCGGAAUGAUAAGUCUGAUGUGAAAGCCCACGGCUCAACCGUGGAACUGCAUCGGAAACUGUCAUUCUUGAGUGCAGAAGAGGAGAGUGGAACUCCAUGUGUAGCGGUGGAAUGCGUAGAUAUAUGGAAGAACACCAGUGGCGAAGGCGGCUCUCUGGUCUGCAACUGACGCUGAGGCUCGAAAGCAUGGGUAGCGAACAGGAUUAGAUACCCUGGUAGUCCAUGCCGUAAACGAUGAUGCGCUAG
rnacentral:rRNA from 1 species